UCGAGAAUAUUCGACAAUGGGCGAAAGCCUGAUCGAGCGACGCCGCGUGCAGGAUGAAGGCCCUCGGGUUGUAAACUGCGGUAGUAGGGGAGGAACGCAAGUGACUGUACCCUACGGAAAGUGGUUGGUAACUACGUGCCAGCACCAGCGGUAAUACGUAGACCACAAGCGUUAUCCGGAUUUAUUGGGCGUAAAGAGCAUGUAGGAGGUCCGGUGCGUCUCUGGUUAAAGCCCACCGCCUAACGGUGGAAGUGCCAGAGAUACGAUCGGACUGGAGGAUGUGAGAGGUGCAUGGAACUCACGGUGUAGGGGUGAAAUCCGUUGAUAUCGUGGGGAACACCAAAGGCGAAGGCAGCGCACUGGCCAAAAUCUGACGCUCACACACGAAAGCUAGGGUAGCGAAGAGGAUUAGAUACCCUUGUAGUCCCUGAGCGGGCUGGCAAGGCG
rnacentral:rRNA from 1 species